rnacentral:rRNA from 1 species
GGCGGACGGGUGAGUAACGAGUGGGCAACCUGCCCUAAAGUAGGGGAUAACAUCUCGAAAGAGAUGCUAAUACCUUAUAAGAUCCUCUCUUCGCAUGGAGAGAGGAAGAAAGGCGUAAGCCGCUUUAGGAUGGGCCCGCGUCCCAUUAGCUAGUUGGUAGGGUAACGGCCUACCAAGGCCGCGAUGGGUAGCCGGCCUGAGAGGGCGACCGGCCACACUGGGACUGAGACACGGCCCAGACUCCUACGGGAGGCAGCAGUCGGGAAUAUUGGGCAAUGGGGGAAACCCUGACCCAGCAAUGCCGCGUGAGUGACGAAGGUCUUCGGAUUGUAAAGCUCUGUCCUUGGGGAAGAAGAAUGACGGUACCCAAGAAGAAAGCCACGGCUAACUACGUGCCAGCAGCCGCGGUAAUACGUAGGUGGCAAGCGUUGUCCGGAAUUAUUGGGCGUAAAGGGCGAGUAGGCGGCCAGUUAUGUCAGAUGUGAAAGGCUAGGGCUUAACCCUAACAUGGCAUUUGAAACUGAUUGGCUUGAGUGUAGGAGAGGGAAGCGGAAUUCCUAGUGUAGCGGUGAAAUGCGUAGAUACUAGGAGGAACACCAGUGGCGAAGGCGGCUUCCUGGCCUACAACUGACGCUGAUGCGCGAAAGCGUGGGGAGCAAACAGGAUUAGAUACCCUGGUAGUCCACGCCGUAAACGAUGGGUGCUAGGUGUGGGAGGUAUCGACCCCUUCCGUGCCAUAGUUAACGCAAUAAGCACCCCGCCUGGGGAGUACGGUCGCAAGACUGAAACUCAAAGGAAUUGACGGGGGCCCGCACAAGCAGCGGAGCGUGUGGUUUAAUUCGACGCAACGCGAAGAACCUUACCAAGGCUUGACAUCCCUCGCUAUUUGUAGAGAUACAAAGUUCCCUUCGGGGACGAGGAGACAGGUGGUGCACGGUUGUCGUCAGCUCGUGUCGUGAGAUGUUGGGUUAAGUCCCGCAACGAGCGCAACCCUUGUACUUAGUUGCCAUCAUUAAGUUGGGCACUCUAAGUAGACUGCCGGUGACAAACCGGAGGAAGGUGGGGAUGACGUCAAAUCAUCAUGCCCCUUAUGUCUUGGGCUACACACGCGCUACAAUGGUCUGUACAGAGGGCAGCGACACCGCGAGGUGAAGCGAAUCCCAUAAAACAGAUCUCAGUUCGGAUUGCAGGCUGCAACUCGCCUGCAUGAAGUCGGAGUUGCUAGUAAUCGCGGAUCAGAACGCCGCGGUGAAUGCGUUCCCGGGCCUUGUACACACCGCCCGUCACACCACGAAAGUUGGUAACACCCGAAGUCGGUGAGCAAAACGCAGCCGCCGAAGGUGGGACUAAUGAUUGGGGUGAAGUCGUAACAAGGUAACCAAU